GUCACACAGUGAGUGUACCCACGAGAGAUUAGAGGAAGUGCAUGUGCACGCGUGCACGUGAAACUGUGAAAGAAAAGAAAAGAGAAGAAAAAAAAAAGCUUGUUUGUUCAUUCCGGAAUGUAGCAUGCAGCAUGGCAUCUGCUUGUGCAUGGGAGUCGGAGGAGCAGGCCAGAAAGAUUCCGCAGGCCACGCGGCAUUUGCGCCGCAACUCACGCGUCAUUUUGCAUCGGAGAACAUGGUUUUUGGCCCGGGCCGGGCGUGAGAUCGGCAAGGUGGGUGGGGACGCCGCGCCGGUUUCCCCCCUGGUGCGCGGUGGCCUACCCAUCGCCGGCCGAGAUCACGCGAGCCUGCCGCCGCCAUGCCGACUGAUCCGGACGGAGGCAGGUCCCGGUGUCCCGGUCUCCGGAAUCUCUUAGGGCUUGUUUGGGACAAAGGGUAAUGGAAGGGAUUGAGGAGCUAUAAUCCCUCACUAUUCAAAAUUAAGUAGUAAGUACCUUUGAUCCCAAACAAUGCCUUAAACUUUUCCCUUAACGCGUCGCCUGGUACCGUGUUUUGCUGUUCUCCAAUUUGUGGCUUGUCAAAGCUGUCGAGUUAGGCUAGCUCCAGCAAGAGACCUUAAAGAGUUCUGUAUUCUAAAUAUAGAUAAUUAAAUGGCCCUCUACGCUAUCUAGCAGCGUCCUCUAAAUGGUCCUCUAUCCAUUUGAAUACUUUAAAUAACC
rnacentral:misc_RNA from 1 species